GUCAAAAAAAAGAAGGCUCACGACGGAGACCUAGGCUCUCAGAGACGAUGAAAGGCGCGAUACCGGCGAUAUGCUUUGGGGAGUAGGAAGAAUGCAUUGAUCCAAAGAUUCCUGAAUAGGGCAACCUGUCCGACUAUCUAUGAAUUCAUAAAUAGAUUAGAGGCAACCUGGUGAACUGAAACAUCUCAGUAGCCAGAGGAAAAGAAAGCAAAAGCGAUUCCCGUAGUAGCGGCGAGCGAACUGGGACCAGCCUAAACCAAUUUUAUUGGGGUUGUGGGAAGACAAAAAAAAAAAUAAAACGAUAAGACGAAGCAGCUGAAUCCUGCACCAUAGAUGGUGAAAGUCCAGUAGUCAUAUUCAAUAACUUUUUAUAUAAAUUUUUCGCCAAUCAGUCGCCAAUCAGUCGCCAAUCAGUCGCCAAUCAGUCGCCAAUCAGUCGCCAAUCAGUCGCCAAUCAAAGAUUGACGAAUAGAUUGACGAAUAGAUUGACGAAUAGAUUGACGAAUAGAUUGACGAAUAGAUUGACGACGUCUAUUUUAAAUUUAAUGUCUAUCCCGAGUAGCAUGGGGCACGUGGAAUCCCGUGUGAAUCUGCGAGGACCACCUCGUAAGGCUAAACACUCCUGAGAGACCGAUAGCGAAAUAGUACAGCGAUGGAAAGGUGAAACAGAACCCCCGUAGGGGAGUGAAACAGAACAUGAAAUCGUGAGCUGACAAGCAGUGGGAGGAUUUUUUGAAUCUGACCGCGUGCCUGUUGAAGAAUGAGCCGGCGACUUAUAGGAAGUGGCGGGUUAAAGAGUAAGAUCUGGAGCCUAAGCGAAAGCGAGUCUGAAUAGGGCGAAAGUCACUUCUUAUGGACCCGAACCUGGAUGAUCUAACCAUGAGCAAGCUGAAGCUUAGGUAACACUUAGUGGAGGGCUGAACGGACCGAUGUUGAAAAAUCGGCCGAUGACUUGUGGUUAGCGGAGAAAUUCCAAUCGAAUUCAGAGCUAGCUGGUUCUCCCCGAAAUGCGUUGAGGCGCAGCGGCAAUGAUGGGCAAUCUAAGGGUAGAGCGACUGUUUCGGUGCGGGCUGCGAAAGCGGUACCAAGUCGUGGCAAACUCCGAAUAUUAGAUGUGCUUUCCAUGUGCCAGUGAGACAGUCGGAGAUAAGUUUGAUUGUCAAGAGGGAAACAGCCCAGAUCAUCAGCUAAGGCCCCUAAAUGACUCCUAAGUGGAAAAGGAUGUGAAAAUGCUGAAACAACCAGGAAAUUCGCUUAGAAGCAGCUAUUUUUUAAAGAGUGCGUAAUAGCUCACUGGUAAAGCGUUCUUGCGCCGACAAUGGCCGGGACUAAGGAGUCUGCCGAAGCUAUGAGAUUUUUUAUUUCUUUUAUUUAUAUCCGCGAAGCGGCUAUAUUUAUUUUUUAUUUAUAGCCGCUUCGCGGAAAAAGAAAAAAUAAAAAUCGGUAGGGGAGCGUUCAGCGCUGGGUGAAGCUUUGACGUAAGUUUGAGUGGACGGCGCUGAAGUGAGAAUGUCGGCUUGAGUAACGAAAACAUUGGUGAGAAUCCAAUGCCCCGAAAACCUAAGGGUUCCUUUACAAGGUUCGUCCAUGAAGGGUGAGUCAGGACCUAAGGCGAGGCCGAUAGGCGUAGUCGAUGGCAAACAGGUUGAUAUUCCUGUACUUUUUUGAGGGGGAACCGAGGGACGAAGUCGGCUAAAUUGAGUCUGUGAAUGGAAUGCAGUGGAAAUGUUCAAGGCAUCGCUCCGCUCCGCGGCUGCGAAAACAGAUCGAAGAAAAACGAAUCUGUAGCUGAGGCAUGAUCCCACUCUCCUAAACUUGUUUGGGCAGAGUGUCAAUGAUGUCAUACUUCCAAGAAAAGCUCGUACACCAUCUUGCUGCUUGCGGCAAGAUUAAACCUUCAAAAAACCUGUACCUGAAACCGACACAGGUAGGUUGGUAGAGAAUACUAAGGGGCGCAAGAGAACUCUCUCUAAGGAACUCGGCAAAUUAGCCCCGUAACUUCGGGAGAAGGGGCGCCUCUGACUUUGUCAGGGGCCACAGUAUAAAGAGUGUGGCAACUGUUUACCAAAAACACAGGUCUCCGCAAAGUCGCAAGACAAUAUAUGGGGGCUGACGCCUGCCCAGUGCCGGAAGGUGAAGGAAGUUGGUUAUUUGGGCCUUGUGCUCAGAGAAGCUGACAACCGAAGCCCCGGUGAACGGCAGCUGUAACUAUGACAGUUCUAAGGUAGCGAAAUUCAUUGUCGAGUAAGUUUCGACCUGCACGAAAGGCGUAAUGAUCACACUACUGUCUCAGAGAGAGGCUUGGUGAAAUAGACUUAUCCGUGAAGAUGCGGAUUAACAACAUUUGGACAGAAAGACCCUAUGAAGCUUGACUGUAUCCUGGAAUUGGGUUCGGGCUUUUCUUGCGCAGUCUAGGUGGGAGGCAUUGAAGAUUUCUUUCCGGAGAGAUUGGAGCCAUCAGUGAGAGACCACUCUGGAAAGGCUAGAAUCCUAAGAGUGAUCCCUAAUCGGGACAUUUGACGUUUUCAGGAGGGCAGUUUUUUUGGGGCGAAAGUCCUCCUAAAAGGUAACGGAGGCGCGCAAAGGUUUCCUCAGUCUGGACGGAAAUCAGACGUUACAGAGUGUAAAGGCAAAAGGAAGCUUGACUGCAAGACCUACAAGUCGAGCAGGGGCGAAAGCCGGCCUUAGUGAUCCGACGGUUUCCGUGUGGAAGGGCCGUCGCUCAACGGAUAAAAGUUACUCUAGGGAUAACAGGCUGAUCUUCUCCAAGAGUUCACAUCGACGAGAAGGUUUGGCACCUCGAUGUCGGCUCAUCACAUCCUGGGGCUGUAGUAGGUCCCAAGGGUUGGGCUGUUCGCCCAUUAAAGUGGUACGUGAGCUGGGUUCAAAACGUUGCAAAGUAGAAUUCUUUAAAGGAUUCUACGGGAAUUUACAUUAUUCCAAAAGUUGCGGUAUAAUACGCCAACUUCCUUAAGAAUUACUUUCUUAUAGGAAGAAGACAUAGUCCAUGCCCUUACGAAAGUUAGGGAUUUACAUGCGUAAGACAGUUUGGUCCAUAUCCGAUGUUGUCGUUAGAGCGCUGAGGGGAUCCUUAAAUAGUACGAGAGGAUUUUUAAGGUCGUGCCUAUUGUGUAUCAGUUCUCUCUCCAGAGGGAAACGCUGAGUAGCUACGCACGGUUUAGAUAACCGCUGAAAGCAUCUAAGUGGGAAGCUUUCCUCAAGAUGAGCGCUCUCCAUUAUGCCACAGCUAGACAAGCUGAUGAUAGGUAUCAGGUGAAAGGUCUGCAAGGAUUUGAGCCGAGAUAUACUAAAGGCCAAUUGAUUUUGACCA
rnacentral:rRNA from 1 species